UAUACUGCGAACUGCGAAUGGCUCAUUAAAUCAGUUAUCGUUUAUUUGAUAGUACCUUACUACUUGGAUAACCGUGGUAAUUCUAGAGCUAAUACAUGCUAAAAACCCCGACUCACGGAGGGGUGUAUUUAUUAGAUUAAAAACCAAUGCCCUUCGGGGCUCUUUGGUGAUUCAUAAUAACUUCUCGAAUCGCAUGGCCUUGCGCCGGCGAUGGUUCAUUCAAAUUUCUGCCCUAUCAACUUUCGAUGGCAGGGUCUUGGCCUGCCAUGGUUACAACGGGUAACGGAGGGUUAGGGCUCGACCCCGGAGAAGGAGCCUGAGAAACGGCUACUACAUCCAAGGAAGGCAGCAGGCGCGCAAAUUACCCAAUCCCGAUACGGGGAGGUAGUGACAAUAAAUACUGAUACAGGGCUCUUUUGGGUCUUGUAAUUGGAAUGAGUACAAUUUAAAUCCCUUAACGAGGAACAAUUGGAGGGCAAGUCUGGUAAGCAAUCUGCUGGUGCCAGAUAGAGUGAGGCCCUACAACUCACUAGUCGAACGCAUCCGUCAGUGGCGGGUGGAUGCCGGCGAGACAACCUGGAUCGGGGAAGGCUAAGGGCCCCAGGCCUAUGCUAAUCCCGAGCGGAGCUACCCUGUAGCCCGUGUAGAGCGCGGAAAGGUGUCGGUCUUGCGAGCGCAAGGCUUAAGGGACGUGCCAGACCCUGCAGAAAUGCAGGCCAGCUACUCGAGCGCCCGCCGCGCGAAGGUAGUUGGGCGCUAUAGCGUGCUAUAGCGUCGUAUAGUGGGUAACUAAAACGGCCAGCAGCCGCGGUAAUUCCAGCUCCAAUAGCGUAUAUUAAAGUUGUUGCAGUUAAAAAGCUCGUAGUUGAACCUUGGGCCUGGCUGGCCGGUCCGCCUCACCGCGUGCACUGGUUCGGCCGGGCCUUUCCCUCUGGGGAACCCCAUGCCCUUCACUGGGUGUGGCGGGGAACCAGGACUUUUACUGUGAAAAAAUUAAAGUGUUCAAAGCAGGCCUAUGCUCGAAUACAUCAGCAUGGAAUAAUAGAAUAAGGACGUGCGGUUCUAUUUUGUUGGUUUCUAGGACCGCCGUAAUGAUUAAUAAGGGACAGUCGNGGGGCAUCCAGUAUUCAAUUUGUCAAAAGGUGAAAUUCUUGGAUUAUUGAAGACUAACUACUUGCGAAGCAU
rnacentral:rRNA from 1 species